rnacentral:misc_RNA from 1 species
ACCGGUCAAGCCUUAGGUGGCCACAAGCGUCGUCACUAUGAAGGCCCUGUUGGUGGUGGUAACAACAAUAGCAGCAGCGCCAUAACCUCAUCGGAAGGUGGCGCAAGCCAGAGUCAGAGUCAAAGUCAAAGCAGAGGCGGCGGCUUCGAAUUUGACCUGAAUUUGCCGGCUGUGCCUGAGUUGAAUGAUUCAAGUAUCACUCGACAACUGUUUAGAGAGCCAGAAGUGGAGAGUCCUCUGGCUGGAAAGAAACCAAGAUUAUCGUUCUUGCUUAAGCAAGAAGAAAACUGAAGUGGGGGUUUCUUUGCAAGAUUGACGAGAUAGAUACAGAGCUUGUAGAUUAGGUUGAUUAGAAAGAUGCUUGAAUUUUUUCGUCUUCAUUGAAAUUAGUUUUUUUUUUUCCAGUUGAAUUCUAUGGUUCCGUAUUGUACAGAAAAAAUUGUUCAUUGUUUGUGAACUUCGCAUCAUGAUUUAUUCAUUCUUUCAAUUUGUUCCAAUCUUUUAGCUUCAAUAAUAAUUAAUUUAAUCUUG